UGGGGAAUAUUGCACAAUGGGCGAAAGCCUGAUGCAGCGACGCCGCGUGAGGGAUGACGGCCUUCGGGUUGUAAACCUCUUUCAGCAGGGAAGAAGCGAAAGUGACGGUACCUGCAGAAGAAGCGCCGGCUAACUACGUGCCAGCAGCCGCGGUAAUACGUAGGGCGCAAGCGUUGUCCGGAAUUAUUGGGCGUAAAGAGCUCGUAGGCGGUUAGUCGCGUCUGCUGUGAAAGCUCGAGGCUCAACCUCGGGCUUGCAGUGGGUACGGGCUGACUAGAGUGCGGUAGGGGUGACUGGAAUUCCUGGUGUAGCGGUGGAAUGCGCAGAUAUCAGGAGGAACACCGAUGGCGAAGGCAGGUCACUGGGCCGCAACUGACGCUGAGGAGCGAAAGCAUGGGGAGCGAACAGGAUUAGAUACCCUGGUAGUCCAUGCCGUAAACGUUGGGCACUAGGUGUGGGGUCCAUUCCACGGAUUCCGUGCCGCAGCAAACGCAUUAAGUGCCCCGCCUGGGGAGUACGGCCGCAAGGCUAAAACUCAAAGGAAUUGACGGGGUCAUAGCUGUUUCCUG
rnacentral:rRNA from 1 species